CAUAUCACGUUGAAAUAUUGGUUCCCAUACAAUCAGCGAAGUUAAACAACGUCGAACCUGGUCAGUACCAAGAUGGGUGACCACUAGGGAAUAUUAGCUGUUGUAAG